GCCUUCGUGGUGUAGCGGUCAGCACGCUCGACGCGUAACCGAGAGGUCCGUGGUUCGAUUCCCGGCGAAGGCU
rnacentral:tRNA from 1 species